CCCAGUUUAUAUAUUUCUACUAAUGAUGCUAGUGGUAACUGCAACGAACCUCUUUUACAAUAAAGAACUGAACUGUUCAACAUCAUAGCCAAAACUAAAGG